UGUUGAUCCCCUCCAUGUACGAUUGUACGAGUGAAACUGAACAUGGAUUGGCAACAAAAUCGUCUACCAGAAUAGGUUUGGAGCCCUCGUCUACAAUGACCCCCAUUCUGUCUGACACAGGAGACUCUGUCUGGGCCGGAGCACGGCCUGUCCACUGGGACACAGAGAUGCCAGUGAUGGAGGGACAGUACUCCGGCUGGCGUGGAUGGGACUGUGGAGUGGAUGUCAAGGGAGAGGCCGGAGCUGUGCUGACACUCUCAGCUAAGGGCUCGGACCUCUUCUAAUAGACCGUUACUGAAUUCAAGACUUUUCAGCCACAGGAGGAACAGGGUAGGCACAGAAUAUGAAGAAACAGAUUUACAUUUUCUAGGAUUUUAUUUUUGUAUAUGUUUUUUUUUUUACUUUUUGUCAAAUAAAAAUGUAACCUUUUUGUACUCGUAAUAUUCUAUCAUGUUUGGUUUCCAGAAUCAUCAAACUUGUAUUUGUGUGGUUGUGGAACUGUAAGGGAAGUGAAUAGAAUACAUUGA
ensembl:lncRNA